rnacentral:lncRNA from 1 species
UAAAACCUAACCUUAACUCCUUAGGGGAUGUGCAAAAUCGUAUUAAAAUUGGAGGAUUCAGGACUGUUAACAUUUCAAGUUAGCUUUACAGUUGUCUUAACUCUGCUAAAUGAACAGAAAUUAAAAGUUUUCAAAUAGUGCAGCACAAUUUAAACUUUCUAGCUAUAUGACAGGAACAUUAUUUUGAAAUCUGCAUGGACAAGCAAAACUGAAAUUAAAUCACACUUAGAUGAGUAUGAUAAAUAGGCUCUGUUAUAAAAAAAUAUCAGCUAGUGAACCUAAAAGUUGCUGUAUUAUAUUAAACACCACAUUAAGCAAAAGCCUUUUUAUCGGUGACAACCAAUAAAUUUGAGCAUAAUUUUAAGCUAAUUUGAAGAAAAAAAAUACGGAACUUAUUUUUUAGUAAUAACCACAUGGUCUUAAAGUAGAGGGAAGUAUAGGUUGGACCUGGACAAACUUGGAACAAUGGUCAGUACAGAGCAGUAAAUUUAAAAGAUUUUGAAAGCCUUCAUGGAGAAACUCUGAGAGUUGCUUCCAUCGCACCUGGAUAAACGUGAACUGGAAAGACAAACUAUGAAAUCAUGUCAUGAGGAUGACACUGUCAGGACAAGGAACUAUAAAAGAUUUCAUCCAGAGGACAGUGUGAUGAAUAUGAUGUAAGCCACAAUGUGUGGAAGGAAGCAAAUCUAGUGAGGGAUUCAUCACUUGAACAAGGAAGUUGCCGUUGAACUGUAUGAUUUGGAUGAAAGAUCAACAUUAAAGGCAACGCUUCAGCAGCAGCUGGCUUUCAGAAAAAGGAUGUAUAUGACUUUAAUGACUGUUUUUAUGAGUGGGAGUACUGCUGCAUAACUUUACAUCUUAACCUUGGAAGCACAAUUGAAGGAAACGCCUACCAUGAUCUCCAUGCCAUUCUGGAAACGUGACACUUACAGGAGGAGCAGGAGAGUACUGACUUGAACUUUGGAGAACAAUUGACUUUCUGAUGUUGGAUCAAAGGAAUUUGAUGACUUUCUGAUGUUGGGACUAGCCUGUGGAAUUCGCCAUCUUUACUGCCAGAGGACACAUGAGUCAUUCUGGAAACCCAAAGGUCUGAAGAUACUCCUGAGACGUUAACUGGCUGUGAUGAGCAUGACCAAGACGCCUGGAUUGCAGAAGGCUUCUGAUCUUAAUACUUCACCAGAGGGUGCCCGAUGGACCUGACAUCUUGAAUAGAGGCCGGGGGACAAGAUUGCAUGUUCAUAAGGUGAGGUAACCAUUGUAUGCAGGCGUGAGCAUGCACAAGACCCCCGGAUGUUGCCGCCGUACAGUUUGCAAGUGGAGUCGCGAUGGAUUGUGUGGUAGGUUAGAACGAGGGGGACAAGGUUGCAUGUAAACCCAGGUGAGGUAACCAUUUCUCUGCAGCUCUUCUAGGCCACAUGCCUCAAGACUUGUCCCCCUGGAUUCUGGAUGUUGUUCUGUGGAUUGUGCAGAGUGGUAUCCUGUUUUGACUGUUCUAACCAGGAUAGGCCUAUUCAUCUUGCUGUGGGUGGCCUGAAGAUGCAUCAGUGUCUUGUCAGAGUUAUGGGCAGAAAGAAGACUGAUGAGAAACGCACCAGAGACAAGAUAUCUGCUGCAGUACCUGUCAACGAGGACUAUCAGCAUUUUAAGGUUGUAGACUACUGGCACCAUUCAAUGCCACAUCACCAGAGCGGGAGCAAACAUCAUGGCUCUACCACAUCAGCCUUCCUGCGACAACGCUCGGCCUCGAUCAGUCGGAUCUACCAGGCACAUAUCAGCAAGAACUGUGAUCCUCUCAUAUCACCCACCUUUUCUCAGCGGGUCACAACCAGAAGGCAGACUGAUGAGUAAGACACAAGAUAUCUGCUGCAGUAACUGUGAGCAAGGACUAUCGGCAUUGUAAGGUGGACCAUACAUCAAAUAUAAUCAUCAGACCUUGGCGGAGACAAUACUCCUCAUGAGUGGAUCCAGAAGGCAGACUGAUAUGGGGCUUCAGAGGCUCGGCCAGUAGCCAGGAAGUUACAUCUCAGACCAAUGGGGAGACACACUUGAAGUUGUUGCAAAUUUGGAUCAAACUGGACAGCAUCAGACACUACAGAAGGAACUAAGCAUUUUUUGGGGGGCAGUAAUUUGGACACACAACGCCUCCCCCCCCCCCCCCACCUGGAUAACUUGAGCUUGGAGACUUCGCUGAUGAGGAUUCAGACCCACGGAGGAACUGGAUUGGUGCACAUUAUUCAACUGGAUGGCAAAACAAACCAAACUGAAAACUCGCAUAAUUUCUCGCAAUUUCACUAGACAGUUAAUGAGAACUUUACUGUAUUAAUUAAUUGACUGUUGCAGACAUUGAUGUCUGAUGUUCAUCUUGCAAGAAAAAAGGGAUGCAAUGCUCAAACUGUGUAAACAAAUCCAAGCACAUGAUCGCUGUAAACACACGGGACCCUUGGAAAAACAACUGUGCGUGCUCAUUAGUGUUUUUUACUGAAGAUCGAUGGAACUGUUCAUCAUCAGAACUCUAAUGAAUGGUGGUGGGAACAAUUUAAACAGCUGAGUUUUUUUAUUUUUGUCUAGAUUUUCAAAUAUGUGUUUGUGAUCAUGCCGGAUAUCAAUGUUGGUGGUUUCUCUACAGGUUGUGGCUCAAAUUUAGCAUAUGGGCUGCAAGACUAUGGACUAUGGGAUCAUCUAUAUCCCUAUGUCCUUCAGACGGCAUAGAUGAUGGGAUCAGAUUCCCAACACAGGACCAGCAGGACUAUGGGAUCUUCUAUAUCCCUACGUCCAUCCGGGGCGGAUCUUGGGUGGUAGUUGAAGGGGGUUAUCCAAUAUCACCUCCCUGGGGAGCAAAUACGUAUUUAAGCAACAUUCAAUAUUACUCCUGGGAGGAGAACAGCUAAAGUUGUAAUGAUCAUCACAGACAUUUUAGAGUGGUUAUCAAUAAAACAAAAUAGGAAUAGGUUAAGGAAUUUGCCCCCAGCUCCAUCGCUUCAAGGCUCUACAAAUUUAAUUUAAUACAAGUAGCACACCGCCUUUAGGGCAUAAACACGUACUUCCCAUGGGGACUGUUUAAAAAAAAAAAUUCUAGCAAACCUCAAAUUUAUAAUUUAGUGGAAUCACGCUUAUAUCCAUCUAAUAACUUAAGACUAUGGGAUCACCUAUAUCCCUAUGUCGUUUUAGGGCUAAGGUGGAGUUCACUGGGUCUCUAACCGAGAAGUGCGGCAAAAACCCAGAUGCGAAAUGGACUGGGCGGCCGUCAUGGUUACGGGCCCUUGUCUGGUGACACUAGGAUGCUUGUCUGGAGCAAAACAUUGAAAAGAAGGGAUUAGAUUCCCAACACAGGACCAGCAGGACUAUGGGAUCAUCUAUAUCCCUACGUCCAUCCGGGUUCACUGAGAAACAUUGGAAUCACCUCUAUAAGUUGCCCCUGGAUUAACUUUUGACAAUAUUCAAGACAAACUUGGAAAUCGUAAAGACGGCAUUGCUGGAACAAGGGAACUAAAAACAUUUCAUAAGAAAAAAGUGUGACGAACAGAUGUUUACGGAAGGAGGCAAAUCUUCAUCAUCAUCCAGUGGAGGGACUCAUCACUGAGAUAAAGGACAAAGAACUUCUCAUCAGCGUGUGUGAUUUGGACUAAGGUUCACUAACAGAGGCAACUGUGCAGAAACUUUUGGAGAACGGACUUUAUAUACAAACUGUUGUUAUGAGCGUUGCAUCUCUCCACUGAGGACUCGGUGCAAACUGCUGCGUCACUUCACCAUAAUCUUGGAAGCACAGUUGGAGAACUUGCCUAUGCCAUUUCGGGGACCUUGACACUUGGAGGAUGAGCUUUUUUAGAAAGACAGUGACUUUCUGAUAUUAGACAAGUGAAAUUCUGAUGACCUUCUGAUGUUGGGAUCAACAGCAUUCACCAUCUUCACUACCAUUGGAGGCAUGUCCCAUUCUGGAAACUCUUGAGGUCAGCAGAUACCCUUGAGGCGUUAUCUGGCUGUGAGCAUGACCAAGACGCUUGUGCAGAAUUCUGGGAUGGGCAGACCGAAGGACCAGACAUCUUGGGUAGAGGCCGGGGGACACGUUUGUAUGUUCAUAAGGUAAGGUAACCAUUGUAUGCAGGCUUGAACAUGCACAAGACCCCCGGAUGUUGCCGUACAGUUUGCAAGUGGAGUCGCUUGGAUUGUGUGGUAGAUUAGAACGAGGGGGACAAGGUUGCAUGUAAACCCAGGUGAGGUAACCAUUUCUCUGCAGCUCUUCUAGGCCACAUGCCUCAAGACUUGUCCCCCUGGAUUCUGGAUGUUGUUCUGUGGAUUCUGGAUGUUGUUCUGUGGAUUGUGCAGAGUGGUAUCCUGUUUUGACUGAUGUAACCAGGAUAGGCCUAUUCAUCUUACUGUGGGUGGACUGAAGCUGCAUCAGUGUCUUGUCAGAGUUAUGGGCAGAAAGAAGACUGAUGAGAAACGCACCAGUGACAAGAUAUCUGCUGCAGUAACUGUGAGCGAGGACUAUCAGCAUUUUAAGGUUGUAGACUAUACUGGCACCAUGCAAUGCCACGUCACUGGAGUUGGAGCAAACAUCAUGGCUCUACCACAUCAGCCUUCCUGCGACAACGCUCAGCCUCAUCAGUCAGAUCUGCCAGGCACAUAUCAGCAAGAACUGUGAUCCUCUCAUGUCACCCACCUUGGCUCAAAGGGGUUGUAGACUACUGGCACCAUUCAUUGCCACAUCACUGGACCGGGAGCAACCAUCAUGGUUCCGCUACACCUUCCUGCGACAAAGCUCAGCCUCAUCAGUCAGGACUAAUGGAUGGACCAUACAGCAAUUAUGAUCAUCAUCAGGAUCAGCCAUGCAGACUUCAGCAGAGACAAUUAAUGCUCCUCUCAGGUGGAUCUGGAAGGCAGACUGAUGGGGGCUUCAGAGGCUCGGCUAGUAGUCAGGAAUUUACAUCUCGUACCGAUCGGAAGACGCACCUGAAGUUGUGCACGUUUGGAUAAAUCUGGACAGCAUCACACUAUAGAUGGAAAUGAGCGUUUGAGGGGGGAGGGCGAUAAUUGGCCAGACGGCACCCCUCCUUCAUCUCGACCACUGCAGCUUGAAGAUUUAACUUUUAGGUUUUGGAGCCACGAAGGAACUGGAUUGGUGCACAUUAUUCAAUUGAUCGCGAAAUGAACAAAAUUUUAAACCCGCGUAAUUUCUCGCAAUGUGACUUGACAGUUAAUUAGAACUGCUUCAAGUUUGCCCAUACUUCUGAACUAUUGCUGAUUUGGAUGUCUGUGUUCGUCUUGCAAGAAGAAAGGGAUUUAGUUCUCAAACUGUGUCGAUGACGCGUGAUCACUGGACCCUAUGGAGAAACCAUUGUGCGUGCUUUUAACAUUUAUGAAUGGAAGACCGAUGGAACUGUUCAUCUUCGGAACUUUCCUGAGUGGUGGUGGGAAAUAUUGAGACAGCUGAGUUUUGAAAUAUUUGAUAGUUGAAUUGUUAUUUGUUACCUCAAAGGUAUUUUUCAAAGUCAUGUGUUGACAUGUGACUGUUGUGCAUUUAGAGAAAUCAUUGUGCAUGUUUUCAACCUUUUGUUGAACUGAGACUGACGGAAAUUUCAUCAUCAGAAUUUUCAUAAGUGGUGGUGGGAAAUAUUGAAACAGCUGAGUUUUUAAAUGUUUGAUAUUGUAAUUAUUUUGAAGCUGUGAUUUAUUUGGUCAAAAUUUUGAUGCUUAAUAAUUGCUAUUAAGGCGUCCCUCUUUUUAUUCAAUGGUUCUCAUUUCUGAUGAUGUGAAUCAGUAGCGUAUCCAGCUUUUGAUGUCAGGGGGGCAAUUGCACAUCAGCGCAGAAAUGUUCACUUUUUUCUCAGGAUACUUGGCCUCCGUAAAAUAAAAAAAAAAAAAGGGGGGGGGGCCUGUAGGCCUACCCAUCUCUCAUUUUAUGCCCAUUUUCACGUUGCAUUGUAAUGGUUUUUGAGAGGGUUUUCUGUUUUGGAAUUGAUAUCAGAACUCCUGCCCCCCCCCCCCCAGGAUACGCAACUGAUGUGAAUUCACCUUAAAUGAAUAAAACAAUUGCAUAAAAAUAUAAGACGAGGCAUACUUUGCAUCAAUGAAUUAAUAGGUCGAAUUGUAUUUUUCUUCAGAUUUUAAUUUUCUGCAAAGUGACACUGCCUACUUCAGA